rnacentral:lncRNA from 1 species
GAGCACUCUCAUGACUCGUCCUUCCCAGUUAGCCCAGGUUGGACCUUCGCUGUCAUUUGUUGGCUUGUGAAUUUCUCUGACUUUCUAACGUUCAAGCAGAGUCUGUCUAAAGACUGACAUCUUUCAUUGUGGAUUAUUCAGGUAAAGAACCAAGAAGGGAAGAAAAAUUUGUCUACCCUACAAUAGGAAAUGAAUCACAGAAAGAGAAAGCAAUCAAUUCAGAAUCCAUUGCCUACAGUCCUGGAAUAAGUCAUUACCAAUUAAAUGAAGUUACACUUGAAAGAAAACUAUUUUCCAUUCCUGAUACAGAUCAUUUUCAUGAAUACAAACAUCAAGAAUAAAUUACAGUAAAAAAAUUGUUAGCAAUUGUACCAGAAACUGGGUACUGUCAUCAUUGUUCAAUGCAGAGGGGGAUUCUAUACAUGUCCCCAAAUUGCCCUCCAUAAUGUUUACCAAAAAUUACUCCACAGUAGGUUGUUUUAAAUUUUUCCAAUAUCAAUGCACAGUUUUGUAAUAUAAAGAUUUAUAUAUUUUCAUUGUUGAAAAUUCAACUCUAUUUUAAGAAUAGGAUAUUGCAGAGCUAUGGCACUGAAAAACUUAUGAAAUGGCUGUGAUAUACAUAGUUUUUGAUACUUUUGGCCAAUUUCUGAACGUAAUACUUUAUUAAUUUAUGCAUUAAAUUCAAACUUUCUUCUCUUGAUUGCCAUACUUUUUUAGGAUUCUUAUUUUUUAUGGUUCUUUAACCUGAACCAUUCACUCAUGACCGAAAAGUUAAGUACUAACUCGUUUUUCUAAAGAAUAUUAUUCUCCCUGAUGAAAACACUAUCUCUUCUUUAAAUCCUCUUCUUCUUAAAGACCCUUUCAAACUUCUUCCAACUGGGAAGUGUUCAGUCUCUAUUCUGAUUACUGAUUU